rnacentral:misc_RNA from 1 species
UCAUCCUGUCUCGUAGUCUUCAAGUCAGAGCUACCAUGCGCCUGGCGUUAGGUCGUCGCGGGUCGAUGCCGCCUCCUAGAGGCGUCGUCACGGCUGUGGCGGCAACAGCAGUCUCUCUGCGGCGCUCGCGCGGCACCCGUGCUCCACAAGCGAUAUCGUCACCUGUGCGCCACUGCAGUGGCGGCUCUGCGUCUUCGUCGUCGUCAGCGGAUAGCGCACGAGGCAGCUACAAUCAUUUCCAGCAUCAGCAGCAGAUGUUUCACCGCCACUCCUUCUACAAUAAGGGCUCUUCGGCACCGCGUGAUGGCGCUGGAGCUGGCGCGGAUGGCAAGCAGGCUCACGGCAACGCAGCGGGUGGCAGUUGGAACAAUGGCAGCUCAUCCUCGUCCUCCACGGCAUCCUCACAACAGCAGCGGGAGCAGGACGAACGCCUCUAUGGCAUGGGCUCCGCCACGGCGCAGCAGCGCCGGCAGGUGCGUCAGCAGUGGGAAAAGUCCUUCUUUGGUCGCUUGCACUACGAGGAAGGCAUGCAUGAUCGUUUUGCCGAGGCGCUCAAGUCGGAGGACGAGGAGGCGUUCCGGCAGUCCAUCGCUGGUCAGUUGCAUGCGGACUUGUUUCCGCACUGGCCAGAGGAAGAGGAGGCGCCGCUGAGCGAAUUCAAGCGGCUGCGUCCGUCGCUGCAGCUUCACUAUAUCGUGAACCGUCUCAGCAGCGGCGAGCGCCGCAUCCGCUACUCCGUUGACUUUGGCGGUCUGUUCAUGAUGCCCCAGCUGAAUCUUGGGGAGAUGAUGGUGAAAGAGGCGGACACGCUGCUGCGCGAGCUGGGCUGGAUGAACGACGAGGUCGCCGCAAGGAUCGAAGAGGUCCAGGCGUUGGCGUCCAAGAUCAAGUUUGACUUUGACCUCGACUAAAGGCAGGCCGCGAGCUGUCGCUUCCUUGUGCGUGCGGCACCGUUUGUGUGCGCAUCAGAGGAGGGAGGGGGCGCACGGCGACACACACGCGCAGCGGUGUGCAGGGGAACCUGGUGGCGCGCACUCGAUCCAUUUCUGCUCUGAGUGUGUGUGUGUGUGUGUGUGUGGCACGCGAAACGUUCGCCGUCUCACCUAUCCCUCGGCACCACCGCCACGGCAGCCACAUUCGCUUUCACGGCGGACCCCCCCCCGCCCUCUACUCCUCCUUAACUUUUUUGUCUUGCUUUGCUGCCGAAGCCGGCAAGCGAGUGCGCGCCCGUCCCUGCGGGGCACACGGUCACUGGCUUCAUUGUAUCCAUCCUCGCACACCGUUCUCGGGGCAUGACGGUGGGCGACGCGGUGAGUGGAUGAUCGCGUCUCCCUCUUUCUUCUUUGGGCAGUCCGCCGCAGGCGAGAUCCUCCUUCAGCCCAUCAGCGCUGCUUCUCGUAGUGAUAGUCUGUGAGAAGCCCCCCCCCCACUAACCUCAUGGUCCCUUCUCUCUCUCGCUACGUUCACUACCCGCGUCUCCAGAGGAAGUCCCCCCGCCCAUCCAACCCCCCCCCCUUCCGCCUCUCCACCCGGUGAAGCAGGAAGCUGAAAGGGCAUGCAGCUCCGCACUCUCGUCAGGACGCACAAGCACAGGCGGUAUACGCGUAUGUAUGCUCUCGCAUGGAAAAGAUGCACUCUGCUCCUGUCGGCAUUUGGCCCCCGUGUGUAAAAGCGGCACGACCGCACCGCACACACACACACACACCGCCUCCAGAAGUCAGAUCGACGGAGACGAAUGUGCAGACUCGCUUAAUGGCCUCGAUGCGACUCCCUCCCUCGCACAUACACACGCCAGCAGGAGUUGCCGGCCUCUGUCGCUCACCGUCCC